rnacentral:rRNA from 1 species
GAAUGACUCCUGGCAAUGGAUAUCUUGGCUCUCGUGUCCAUGAAGAAUGUAGCGAAAUGCGACACUUGGUGUGAAUUGCAGAAUCCCGUGAACCAUCGAGUCUUUGAAUGCAAGUUGCGCACGAGGCCAUUAGGUCGAGUGCACGUCUGUUUGGGCGUCAUGU